rfam:Schistosoma mansoni strain Puerto Rico chromosome 1, complete genome
UUACAGAUAUGGAGAUAUUGUACCAACUACAAUUAUUGGAAAAAUAGUUGGCGGUAUUUGUUCACUUUCUGGUGUACUUGUUAUCGCCUUACCAGUCCCUGUGAUUGUUUCACAU